AAUGAACGCUGGCGGCGUGGAUUAGGCAUGCAAGUCGAACGCGAAAGUUCCCUUCGGGGAGCGAGUAGAGUGGCGAAAGGGUGAGUAAUGCUUGGAUGACCUGCCCUCGAGACGGGGGACAACAGUUCGAAAGGACUGCUAAUACCCGAUAGUCCCGGUUUAGAGUGCGGUCUAGAUCGGUAAAUGGUGCUUCCGCUCGAGGAGGGGUUCAAGUCCUAUCAGCUUGUUGGGUAGAGGUAACGGCUCACCAAGGCGAUGACGGGGUAGCCGGACUGAGAGGUUGGCCGGCCACAUGGGGAACUGAGACACUGUCCUGACUCCUACGGGAGGCUGCA
rnacentral:rRNA from 1 species